rnacentral:rRNA from 1 species
AUGGCUCCGGGGGACACCGGCGUCGAGCAGCCGCGUAAGGCGCAUCGCGUGGCCAAGUCGGGCGCGAAGGCGCGGAAGAGGAAGGGCAAAGGCGCCGCCGGCGACGAUGAAGGGGGCGAGAGGAAGAACCCCAAGGCUUUUGCCUUCCGUUCAGCAACAAAGGCGAAGCGGCUACAAUCUCGGUCAGCAGAAAUUGAACAACGUCGUCUCCAUGUGCCAAUCAUGGAUCGCUCAAUUGGGGAACCACCUCCUUUUGUUGUUGUAGUCCAAGGACCUCCGCAGGUUGGAAAGUCGCUGCUGAUAAAAUGUCUAGUAAAGCACUACACUAAACAAAACUUGUCAGAUGUCCGUGGUCCCAUCACGGUUGUAUCAGGUAAAAGCAGGAGGGUGCAGUUCUUGGAGUGUCCAAGUGAUAUCAAUGGAAUGAUCGAUGCGGCUAAAAUAGCAGAUCUUGCUCUGCUGCUUAUUGAUGGUAGCUAUGGAUUUGAGAUGGAUACAUUCGAGUUCCUUAAUAUCAUGCAAGUGCAUGGAUUCCCCAAGGUAAUGGGAGUGCUUACACAUCUUGAUCAAUUUAAAGAUGUAAAGAAACUCAGGAAAACUAAGCAGCGCCUUAAGCAUCGAUUCUGGGCUGAGAUAAAGGAGGGAGCGAAACUGUUCUACUUAUCUGGUCUCAUUCAUGGAAAAUACACAAAAAGAGAAGUCCAUAAUCUUGCAAGGUUUAUAUCUGUUAUCAAGCCCAUCCCUUUGAGUUGGCGAAUGGCACAUCCUUACUUGUUAGCAGAUAGAUUCGAAGAUGUAACUUCGUCAGAAAGUGUGCGCUUGAAUAGGAAAUGUGACAGAAAAAUAACGCUGUAUGGUUACCUUCGUGGAUGUAACAUGAAAAGAGGGACCAAGGUGCAUAUCACAGGAGCAGGUGAUUUCAGCUUGUCUGGUGUGACAAGUUUGGCUGAUCCCUGCCCUUUGCCAUCGGCUGCAAAGAAGCGAGGACUACGUGACAAGGAGAAGCUGUUCUAUGCCCCAAUGUCUGGUCUUGGGGAUCUCCUGUAUGACAAGGAUGCGGUGUACAUCAACAUCAAUGAUCAUCUUGUUCAGUUUUCAAACACUGAUGACAACAAUGCAUCUAAGAAACAAGGGAAAGGUAAUGAUGUCGGUGUGGCUCUAGUAAAAACUCUUCAGAACACCAAAUACUCCCUUGAUGAGAAGUUAGAUCAGAGUUUUAUAAAUUUCUUCGGCAGACGGCCUGCUGCUCAGUCCGAAGACAGUGACAUGACAGGUACCCUGGAGAGCAAUGGGCACUCUUCUUCUGAGUGCUCUAGUGAUAGUGAAGGUGACAAUGAUGAUGACAUUCAGCCAAGUGAUCAUGGCGUUGACUUGAGAGAAGAAGUGGAAUUUUGCAAUGGAAGAAUGAGGCGAAAAGCUGUGUCAGCUAAUUUUCAAGAUGUUGAUGAUGAUGAUGAGGGUUCUGAUAACGAAGAUGAUAGUCAUAAUGAAGAUUCUGACGAUGACCACCUAUCUGAAGGUUCUUUAUCAUCAGAUGGUAGUGGAGAAGCUCUUGAUUCAGAUGAUGGAACUGAAAACACUUCGAAGUGGAAAAAAUCUUUACUUGCUAGAACACUGGCCAGACGGAGUGCCAGUCUAAUGCAACUUGUAUAUGGGCAAGCUUCAGCAGAACUAGACAAUGAUAGCGGCGAAGAAGGUAGCUCUGAUGAAGAAAUUUUUGUACCAAAAGGACAAAAAAAGCAAGUAAAGAAUGAAUUACCAAGCUUUGAUGAUAUUGAUGCUGAGGAUUGCUCUAAGUUCUUGAAAGUGGAGCUACGUGAUUGGUCUAACGAAGAUCUCAUCAAAAGCACUCGUGACCGUUUUGUGACUGGAGAUUGGUCAAAAGCUUCUCUGAGAGGACGCGAGGUAGAUGAAAAUGGAGAGGGUGAUGAAGAAAUCGAUGGUGAUUUUGAAGAUCUGGAAACUGGUGAGGUGCACAAGAGCCAGGCUGCUGAAAGUGCAGCUGGGAAGCCAGGUGUUCACAAAGAAGACGAACUAAAAGUUGAAGAACUAAGACUCAAGAAGCUUGCGCUUAAAGCAAAAUUUGAUUCAGAAUAUGAUGGAUCGGACCUCUCUGGCGAGGAAGUUGAUAACGAGAAGAAGAAAUCGAAAAGAGAGCAAUCUGACGCAGGGGGCUAUUUUGACAAAUUGAAGGAGGAAAUUGAACUCCGCAAGCAAAUGAAUAUAUCUGAACUCAAUGAUCUGGAUGAGGAUACCCGAGUAGAAAUUGAAGGAUUUAGGACUGGUACUUACGUCAGAUUAGAGAUACAUGGUGUGCCGUAUGAGCUAGUUGAGCAUUUUGAUCCUUGCCACCCCAUUCUUGUUGGUGGUAUUGGCCUCGGUGAGGAGAACACUGGAUAUAUGCAGGUUAGCUUGAAGCGCCACAGAUGGCAUAGGAAAGUGUUGAAGACAAAAGACCCAAUUGUUGUCUCUAUUGGUUGGAGACGUUUCCAAACAACGCCUGUAUAUGCAAUAGAGGAUCGAAAUGGCCGGCACCGCAUGCUCAAGUACACACCAGAGCAUAUGCAUUGCUUUGCUAUGUUUUGGGGGCCACUGGCUCCACCAAAAAGCGGUGUACUAGCAGUCCAGAGUCUUUCCAGCAAUAAGGUACCAUUUAGAAUUACUGCAACUGGUUGGGUUCAGGAAUUCAACAAUACUGCCCGAAUUAUGAAGAAGAUCAAGCUCACAGGCGCACCAUGCAAGAUAUUUAAGAAAACUGCCUUAAUUAAAGGGAUGUUCACAUCUGAUUUAGAGGUUGCUAGGUUUGAAGGUGCAGCAAUUCGGACAGUAAGUGGAAUCCGAGGACAAGUUAAGAAGGCAGCAAAGAUCGAACCAGGAGAUGCAUUAAGGAGAAAAGGGGAAAAUACGGAAGGCAUUGCGAGGUGCACAUUUGAGGACAAAGUUCUUAUGAGUGAUAUUGUCUUCAUGCGAGCAUGGAUCAACGUUGAAGUUCCCACCUACUGUAAUCUUGUGACCACUUCUCUUCAACCCCGAGAUCAGAUGUGGCAAGGCAUGAGAACCACUGCUGAGUUGCGGAAGGCACACAACAUACCUAUUCCACACAACAAAGACUCGGUUUACAAGGGUAUUGAGCGGAAAGUGCGGAAGUUCAACGCCAUAGAGGUCCCUAGAAAACUGCAACCUUUGCUUCCUUUUAAAUCAAAGCCGAAGGAUAGACCUAAGGGCAAGAAAGGAUCAGCUGUGGACAUGAUACCAGAGAUUAUGAAUAUUGGCGAGAAGAAGAUACAUGGAGCUCUUCAACAGUUGCAUCUGUUAAAGCAUGAAAAGACGAGGAAGGAGAAAAUCAAGCGCGGGCUGCAGAAGAAAGCUCACGAGGCGCAGAAAGCCAAGACGGAUGAGAUAACGAGGAAGCGGCAGAGGGAAGAUAGGCGUGAGAGAUACAGGGAAGAAGAUAAGAAAAAGAAGCGCGCCCGAAAGUAG